GCGGGCGUGGUGGAAUUGGUAGACACGCUAGAUUUAGGUUCUAGUGGGCAAACCCCGUGAAGGUUCGAGUCCUUUCGCCCGCA
rnacentral:tRNA from 1 species